AGUGAACGCUGGCGGUAGGCCUAACACAUGCAAGUCGAACGGCAGCACAGUAAGAGCUUGCUCUUACGGGUGGCGAGUGGCGGACGGGUGAGGAAUACAUCGGAAUCUACUUUUUCGUGGGGGAUAACGUAGGGAAACUUACGCUAAUACCUCAUACGACCUACGGGUGAAAGCAGGGGAUCUUCGGACCUUGCGCGAUUGAAUGAGCCGAUGUCGGAUUAGCUAGUUGGCGGGGUAAAGGCCCACCAAGGCGACGAUCCGUAGCUGGUCUGAGAGGAUGAUCAGCCACACUGGAACUGAGACACGGUCCAGACUCCUAAGGGAGGCAGCAGUGGGGAAUAUCGGACAAUGGGCGCAAGCCUGAUCCAGCCAUACCGCGUGGGUGAAGAAGGCCUUCGGGUUGUAAAGCCCUUUUGUUGGGAAAGAAAAGCAGCAGGUUAAUACCCCGCUGUUCUGACGGUACCCAAAGAAUAAGCACCGGCUAACUUCGUG
rnacentral:rRNA from 1 species